rnacentral:misc_RNA from 1 species
GAUGAAGAACGCAGCGAAAUGCGAUAAGUAAUGUGAAUUGCAGAAUUCAGUGAAUCAUCGAAUCUUUGAACGCACAUUGUGCCCCCUGGUAUUCCGGGGGGCAUGCCUGUUCGAGCGUCAUUUCACCACUCAAGCCUCGCUUGGUAUUGGGCAACGCGGUCCGCCGCGUGCCUCAAAUCGACCGGCUGGGUCUUCUGUCCCCUAAGCGUUGUGGAAACUAUUCGCUAAAGGGUGUUCGGGAGGCUACGCCGUAAAACAACCCCAUUUCUAAGGUUGACCUCGGAUCAGGUAGGGAUACCCGCUGAACUUAAGCAUAUCAAUAAGCGGAGGA